rnacentral:lncRNA from 1 species
ACAAGAUGAAAGACGUAGAAUGGCUAUACCUGUCUUAGGAGGUGAAUAAUUUUAUCUCAGAUGAAUUAUUUGUCUUUGUUUAAUCAUAACGAGAUCUUUUAGAGCAAUGUAUCUGGAAUGAGACAACGCAUGGCAUUAAGCUUACACGUGUAAACUGCUAUAUGUUUUGAAAAUUAAUUUGUUUGAGAUGCUUUUACUUGUAAUGUACAUAUUUCUAUCAGUCAAUUUGAAACAACCACAUCCCCUCCCCAUGCUCAAAGGGGAGGGGGUACUCCGAGAAAAAUUGGGUGGGGGCACUUCCAAAAAUCCUUACCCUAUUUAAGAACAAAAUCAACGUUUUUCUUGCCAUGAUUUUUCUUAUCCUAUUAAUGCCCUGACCAAAAAUUUGAUACCCUAUUUAACUACUGACUCUUAAGGUGGCCGAACACAUUUUCUGCAAUUUCCACUAUAAACAACAACAUUUGAACAUUUUGGACAUUUGUGUGCUCUUGCUAAUGCCAUUCAUUCUUGCUAAUGCCAUUCACCCCCUCCCCUUUAUAUGCCUGCUGCGCAGGCUUGUGGUGAACUAUAAUAUCUGAUGUUUUGUUGUGUGCGUUGUCUGGAGUCACCAACCGCCAAAUGUAUUAUUUCUUAUCCAAAAUUAACAUCUGCUUAAAAUGCUUGUUUACAGCCUGAUAUGUAUUUUCAAGUACAGUAACUGAUCUUAGAGACCUAAAGACAGUUUUACAGGAAAUUAGACCUACAGCCAAACAUUUCUGGAUCAAUGUUGGAGAUUUUGAUCACGGUGUGAAAGGUCAAAAUAUCAGGGAAUAAGCUAGAUUUGCAAUAAAAACUUAGAUUGAGGGAUACUUUUAACUGGUAAAAUUUUUUCGACAGAUACAUGUAAACCAUGUACUGCAAAAUUGGUCCACGAAAUUGAACUAAAUUUUGACAUGACACAACCUUGUUGAAGCAUAUAAUUUUGAAAAUUUGAUGACAAUACAGGUUUAAAUUACAUACAAAUCUGACAGUCCUGAAUAGCUGCUAAAAGAUGAUAUUUUAGUACUAUGGGUUAGCUUUUCCAGCCACACUUGUUAUUUUGGCUUGCUAGCAUUUGUAAAAAGUGUAAUUUUAGGGUUGCGUUUUGCUUUUUGCAGGACAAAAUAUGUACAUGUAAGGCUGUCUCAGCAAGAAAAUAAUAUAUGGGUAGUCCAUUCAAGUAGUCCAUGGUCCAGGUCCAUCGGGGAAGUCCAUGGACUAGGGGUCAGCAAAAUGUACCAUUACAUGGUCAGUAUAAAUACAGACUGCAGACUGCGGACUACGGGCUAUGGACUUAGGUAUAACACAUGGACUAAUGGAUCAGGUGAUAAAAAGAACAAGCAAAUCCAGUAAUUCAAGUUCUUGCUUCAUCAAGCAUGUGAUGGCGCUGUCCAAGAAGAAAAGUAAACUGCUUGAAAACCAUACCCUUCACAGCGGCACAUACCUAUAUAGCCCAUAUAUGGCAGUGCCCCCCCGGGGCGAUCAACCGAUAGUUUUUAUGUAUGGGCCACAUAUUUGUUUCCUGUUUGACUAUGAAAAAUUGUUUGACACGUAGAUAUAAACUUCACAUUAUGUUUACUUAACUUUCAGGUAAAGGAACAACACCUCGCACCUUUCCAGCGUUCCUGAAAAAGGGGAGACCUAACCUCAUGCUUGU